rnacentral:lncRNA from 1 species
GUUACCUUACGUUACGUUGGGAGCGGCCAUCUUGGACCAUGCGCCGCCAUCUUGGGUCGUGCGCAGGACAGAGAGCGACAUGGCCACUCUCGCCGACCAAGCGAAAAAGCUGCAAAUCCAACCUUCAGGAAUUCUCUUCAGGAUUUCUCACCUUUGGUUUUUUUCCCCCAUGUUUUCAGCGGCUGCCAGCACAGUAACGCACGUUUAGUAGAAUUUCAGCCUCUUGCCUACAGUCUUCCGACCGGACCGGAGCGCUGAACCAAUCCCAGGCCAGGCCUGAGUGGACACUGGCCGCGCCCACUGUGUCUCGCAGCCCUUUUGAGGCCGCACGAAGCAUGUGGCCGUAUUGGAAAGGUUUGGGUCCCUACUGCAGAGAACCGGACAGAGAAAUGGCGAGCGUGCACAGACAGGAGAAAGGGAUUAGGAGGGGGCUAGAGCUGUAUCUGAAGGAUCCGAAGAGGUACGAGGAGAGCACUCCGGAUGUACUUGGGGACGAGACGGAGCGGAGGAAGUUGGAGAAGAAAGUAGACAUCCUGUCCGUCGCAUCUCACAUCACUGCAGAAAUGUUCUUAGCGCUCACUUAUCUGAUAAGAACUCAUUUUGUCCCCAUCCCUGGGAAGCACCAGGUUCCUGUUUAGUUUCCUGAGAUGAAAGCCUGUGAGGAAGGAAAUAAUUUGAUGCUGUUCGGAGUUUGUUGACCUGCUUGUAUGUAUAGAUUGUUUUCAUCAGAUUUGGAAGUUUGGGAUCAUUAUUUCUUCGCAUAUUCUCUAUGCCCCUUAUUCUGUCUCCUCUCCUUCAAGGACUUCUAUUAUGCAUAUGUUGGUGUGCUUGACGGUGUCCCCAUCUCUGAGGCACUGUUUACUUUUUCUUUUUUGAUUUUUUCCCACUUCACCUGGAUAAUCUUUAUUGACCCAUCUUCAUGUUUGCCUGUUCUUUCUUCUGCCAGCUGAAAUCUGCUGUGAAGCCCUUCUAGUAAAUUCUUUUUUUUUUUAAUCAUCUCUCUUUGUUGAUAUGCUCUAUUUGGUAAAACAUCAUUGUCAUAUUUUCCUUUAUUCAGAAAUAGUUUCUUUUAGUUCCUCAAACAUAUUUUAAUAGCCAAUUUAAUGUCUUUGUGUAGUAAAUCUGACAUAUGAGACCCCUCAGGAACUGUUUCUAUAGGCCGCUUUUUUUUUCCCUGUGUAUAGAUCGUACUUCCCUCAUUCUUUGUGUAUCACAAUUUUUUAUUGAAGCUAGACAUUGUAGGCAAUAUAAUGUUGCUACCUUGGAUGUCGAAUUCCCCCUCUCCUCAGAAUCUGUUGCUGUGGCUGUAACUGUUGCUGCAGUUUGUUUAGUGACAUUCCUGGACUAAUUCUGUAAAGUCUGUUCUCCUGUAGUGUGCAGUCACUUAAGUCUCUGCCUGGUUAGCUAAUAAUUGAUCAGAGAUUUCCUCAGUUGCCUUGAGUCAGUGAGUCCUCCACCCUUGGCCAAAGGUACUUUGUGUGUGUUGAGGCACUACUUCAAUGCCCAGCCAGUUUACAAGUCUGCCUUAGCCUUCUCGUCCUGCUGCAGGAUUUCAAGGUCAGCCAGAGGUUAAUUAUUGGUGACCUUCACGUCUUUUCUGGGCAGGCACAUAUUCCUGUGUACGUGUGUGACCUUUUAGAUCCUCAGGAAUGUGUCAGAGUGCUUCAUAGCUCCUUGGGUCUUAAGUGAUGAACUCAAUUGUUUCAGUCUUUUUACAGAGUCAUUAGAGGACUUCAGUCUUAAAUUUGGCCAACCUAAAGGACUGUGGCUGUCCGGCCAUGUGAACAUCUUAUUCUUAUGAUACACCUUUUAAGAAUUUUGGCCUUGGCUAAUGUUUACCCCAACUCGUAUUGCAGCCUUAACCUACCACAGUGUAAAACAAUUGAAACUGAUCCUUUCUGAUGAAAGGUUUUCUUGCUACUGUAGCUAUGAGGCUGCUGUUUUUCUAGGGCUAGUGCAGAGCUUGGGGAGAGGGAGCUGGGAGUAAACAAAGGUAAAACUCCACAAACCCUGUUUUUACUGCUGAGGUUCAAAAUUUUUUUCUUGACAAAAAAAUGCUCUUCUGAUUGUUGUUAGACUUUGGUUAAUUUCUAGAGUUGUAAAAAAGUUGACUUUAGUAAUUUUGCCAGUAUUUAUGUUGCUUUUCUAAAACAGUAGAUUUACACAGCAUCUCACUCUGCUAUUUUGGAAGUCUUGCCUCAUCACCUCAUUUACUUCUGCACAGUAACCUAAUAGGAUACAAUUUAUUAAUUUCAUAGGUAAAUGCCCUAAGUCUUACAAUGAUUCAGCUGCUUCCAUGAGUUACAGUUGUUGGCAUACAAAGCCAGUACUGCUUAUCAUUAUACAAUAUUGCAUCCAAUUUAGUAGUUGUCUUAAUAAACCGUUAACAUUUCUGAUAUGUCCUCAAAUUAUUCCUGUCCAAUUUCAACUAGCAUGCUUCCAUCAAUUAUUCCAAAGAAAAACAAUCACAAAGCAUCAUGAUAAUAGUAACCCUUAUGUGGUAUUGUAUUUAUUUGACAGUUGUCUGCCUUCUGAGUGAAGCUGGAAACUUCCACAUGGCUAAGUCAAUGUCAUACAGAUCUUUGCAUCAUCAGUAUCUUGGGUGUAUGUCUGUCAUGUCUAGACAUCUAGAUGUCCUUGCUUGAAUAACCACAUUCUUUGGAGAAAAGAAACCAUUGUGAAUGGCCCACUAGCAAUUUUGGAAUUAUUCCCCCACCAUUUAAAAGCGGAAUCUUGGUGCUUGGAGAUCUUGAAGCAACAGUAUCAGGGAGCUCAGGGUGGGAUAACAUGCUGCCAAAAACAUAGUGGUGUGCUGCACCCAGAGGUGAAAGUUGGAAAAAACAUUAUAAAUUGUAAGGACAGAAUUGGCAAAGUAAAACAAAACGAAGGUGCUUGCUAGAAAUAGGAUGGUUUGAGUGGCUUUUGCCUCAGGAGAGAGUCUGGGGGAGUUUCUGAGGGUGUGCAUAUGCUUCACUGUCUAGUGGUGUCUGUGUAGGAGAAGGGCCGUGUGAACACUGGCCCCAGUCAUAAGUCCCGUGAGCACAACAUCUGGGAAGGUCAUUGUAAGUGUGUAUUUUGUAGUACUAGAUGUUUCAGGCUUUUUCGAAGAACACAGCCCAUAAUCCCGGAGCUUGGUAGAACUGCCAAGACGCUGAUGAGCCUCUAAAUGGAUAAGAACAAAGGUGUUUUAUCAGCAGGUUGGAGAUCGAACAUAGGGAGCAGGAGGAACGGAUGUUCUUCCAAGCUGUCUUUGAGCCCCAUUGACCCACCAGUUCUGGGACUGACGGUGAUUGCCUGAAAGUUGCUCAAGAGGCAAGUGGUGCAGAGGGAAAGGCCUCGGGCUGUUCUGUGGAUAUAGUAGACAAGCUUACACCAAGCACUGCCCACGAUGUUGUGACUCCCCAGAUAAAUAUCAUCUGAAGGAUUCCCUUGAAGAGAAGAACCAGGAUGUUGGCCACAGCCUUGUUGGUGAGAACCAAGUGUAUGGGCUUCCAGGCGUGGCCAGUGCAGGAUGUGGAAGUGUAGGCUGAGAGAAGAUAGAUAUUCCCCAGGACUCCAAUACCUCUGGACCAGGAAAAGGAGCUUCAGGAUCAAGUCACCAAAAAUCAUUCUCGUGGGAUCAUGGGAAGAAGCAGUUCAGAAAAGAACCUGGAGGUCAUGAAGUUAGAACGCAGAGUGACAGCAGCACCAGUCACAGAUCGGCUCCCUUAUUCCCGGUUCUGAUAGGGACUCUCGGGCCCUCAGUCAUUUCCCUUUCUGAGGAUAGAGAUUUCAGUCCCGGGGAGGGGAUCCAGAGCAGUGAGCUCAAAAUUGCUGCUCCGAGUGGCCAUCCUGGCAUGUCUUCUGUUUAUUCUCACACACAGAUGCAAGAUGGUUCAUUAUGUAGUCUAUUUCCCAAAUCCUUCAGUGUAUAUGUCUAGGGCAUAAGCUCCAAGGUAUAAAGCUUUAUCUUUCAUUUUGAAAGCCCUUCUUAAGCAUCUCCUAUAUGCCAGCACAGGCUGUCAGCUCUCAGAGAUACAAAGAUUAACCGACUUGGAUCACUGUUCCAAAGGGCUAAGAGCCUAGUGUGGGAGACACAUAUAUAAAGUAUGAUAGAAUAAAAUAUAAAUCAUGCCGAGAAUUAAGGAUAUAAAUGGUAUUGUGGAAACGAGUGUCAGGGAUCCCAGCGUUUAGGGAUUCUGUGAUAAUAUAUCAACAUUUUAAUUUGCAUUAAUUGAGUCAAUUGUUCUCCCAGAGAUUAAUAUGUGUCUGUCACAAGGAAUAAACUAAUACAGAGAUAUAGAGAGGAAAAAAGUUCAUCUGUGUCCUCUGUCUCUCAUCUCUAACCUUACUCCUCUCCUCCCUGAGAUAACCAUAUAUCUCAGUUGUGCAUUCUUCCACAAUUUUCUUCCUGUUCUUACAAAAUGUGUGUGUGUUUUAGCAAUCACUAAUAAGUAUAGGGUUAAAUGUGCUGCUUAUGUUUAGAAAUUUAAAGCAUUCUUUCUCAUAAAACAUGG